GUGUCAGCAGCCGCGGUAAUACGUAGGGUGCGAGCGUUAAUCGGAAUUACUGGGCGUAAAGCGUGCGCAGGCGGUUUCGCAAGCUGGAUGUGAAAGCCCCGGGCUUAACCUGGGAACUGCAUACAGGACUGCGGAGCUAGAGUACGGCAGAGGGAGGUGGAAUUCCACGUGUAGCAGUGAAAUGCGUAGAGAUGUGGAGGAACACCGAUGGCGAAGGCAGCCUCCUGGGCCGAUACUGACGCUCAUGCACGAAAGCGUGGGGAGCAAACAGGAUUAGAAACCCGCGUAGUCC
rnacentral:rRNA from 1 species